UACGGAAGGCAGCAGUGGGGAAUAUUGCACAAUGGGCGCAAGCCUGAUGCAGCCAUGCCGCGUGUAUGAAGAAGGCCUUCGGGUUGUAAAGUACUUUCAGUCGUGAGGAAGGUGUUAAGGUUAAUAACCUUAGCAAUUGACGUUAGCGACAGAAGAAGCACCGGCUAACUCCGUGCCAGCAGCCGCGGUAAUACGGAGGGUGCGAGCGUUAAUCGGAAUUACUGGGCGUAAAGGGCACGCAGGCGGUUAAUUAAGUUGGAUGUGAAAUCCCCGGGCUUAACCUGGGAAUGGCAUUCAAGACUGGUUAGCUAGAGUCUUGUAGAGGGGGUUAGAAUUCCAUGUGUAGCGGUGAAAUGCGUAGAGAUGUGGAGGAAUACCGGUGGCGAAGGCGGCCCCUGGACAAAGACUGACGCUCAUGUGCGAAAGCGUGGGGAGCAAACAGGGAUUUAGAUACC
rnacentral:rRNA from 1 species